AUGUCCUUUUUUGAUUCUACUCCUGUAGGAAGGGUUCUUAGCCGGGUCUCUUCAGAUUUGAGUAUCAUUGACCUCGAUCUUCCAUUUGCCUUCGUGUUUAGCCUUGGUGAUACCUUAAAUGCAUAUAGCAAUCUAGGGGUAUUGGUUGUUGCUACAUGGGAAGUUUUAUUUGUAUCUGUGCCAAUGAUAGUUUUGGCAAUUAGGUUGCAGAGGUACUAUCUAGCCUCAGCCAAGGAGCUGAUGCGGAUCAAUGGUACUACCAAGUCUGCUCUGGUGAAUCACUUAGGUGAAUCGAUUUCAGGGGCUAUAACAAUAAGGGCCUUUGGGGAAGAAGAUCGUUUCUUUGCUAAAAAUUUGGAUCUUGUUGACAAGAAUGCCAGUCCAUAUUUCUGUAAUUUUGCUGCAACUGAAUGGUUGAUUCAACGCCUGGAAAUAAUGAGCGCCUCCGUGCUUUCUUUUUCUGCCUUUGUCAUGGCUCUUCUUCCUCAAGGAACUUUUAGCCCUGGUUUUGUGGGAAUGGUAUUGUCCUAUGGUCUUUCGCUAAAUGUGUCCUUUGUUUGCUCUAUUCAAAACCAAUGCAACCUUGCGAAUCAGAUAAUAUCAGUGGAACGGGUGAACCAGUACAUGGACAUACAAAGUGAAGCAACGGAAGUUGUUGAAGAAAAUCGGCCAUUGCAAGAUUGGCCCCAAGAUGGCUAUGUGGAACUUAGAGAUUUGAAGAUCAGGUAUAGGAAAGAUACUCCCCUUGUACUACAUGGAAUCACUUGCAAGUUCCAAGGUGGAGAUAAGAUUGGUGUAGUUGGUCGGACAGGAAGUGGCAAGACAACGUUAAUUGGUGCAUUGUUUCGUCUUGUUGAACCUGAUGAAGGGAAAAUAAUUAUAGACUCUAUGGACAUUGGUACGAUAGGGUUACAUGACCUGCGUUCGCGUUUGGGUAUCAUUCCGCAAGAUCCAACACUUUUUCAUGGUACAAUAAGAUACAAUCUAGAUCUUCUUGGACAAUUCUCAGAUCUAGAAAUAUGGGAGGUUCUUGGCAAAUGUCAACUUCUUGAAGCUGUCCAAGAGAAGGGACAUGGAUUGGAUUCACUUGUUGUGGAAGACGGGUCAAACUGGAGCAUGGGCCAAAGGCAGCUCUUUUGUCUGGGACGCGCACUUUUGAGAAGAUGCCGCAUCUUAGUUCUUGAUGAAGCGACGGCCUCUAUAGACAACGCAACAGAUGUUGUCCUUCAGAAAACGAUCCGAACAGAGUUCAAAUAUUGCACCGUUAUUACAGUUGCACACCGUAUACCAACAGUUAUGGACUGUGAUAUGAUACUUGCAUUGAGAGAUGGGAGAGUAGCAGAGUAUGACAAUCCUGCAAAGCUCAUGGAGACUGAAGGAUCUCUCUUUCGUGAGCUGGUCAAGGAGUAUCGGUCACACACAUCAAACACAAAUAUUUAG
rnacentral:rRNA from 1 species